CUCACUCCAGACUCCCUAAAAAUCACUAUGAGAGCCAUGCCAUGUGGUAAGGGAGCCUUGGAUCUGUUCAAGGCUUCCCUCAUGGGAUCGAUCAUCAGGAAAGGUAGAUUUAGGAGAGUCUCAGAAAUAAUAGGUGCAUCAAGCAGAUAUCCCUACCAGUCAUCAAAUCAUAUCUUCUCCCUCUGGGGAAGAAAAUCCUAGACACCAUGUGGUGGAGCAAUCUCAUCUCCACACUC
rnacentral:lncRNA from 1 species